CUCGGUGGGCGCUGCGGCUGCUGAGGGUCCCCGGCUGUGUCACCGCCCCGCAGUGCCACCGCCCCGCAGUGCCACCGUCCUGCCUGUGUCACCGCCCCUCAGUGUCACCGUCCCGCAGUGUCACCGCCCCGCCAUGCCACCGCCCCGCAGUGCCACCGCCCCUCCAUGCCACCGUCCCGCAGUGUCACUGUCCCGCCUGUGCCGCGGCCUGCCUGGGUGACACCGCGGGACCAGCUGCUUCCCCGGCACUUUAAAUGUACAGCACCCGAGAGGCGAAACUUUCAUCACUGCUCCUUACCCUACUAUUGUGAUUUAUUAGCAAAAGGCUUUGGUGGAUGAGCUGGCAAGACGGCGUAAUCUUCCUCAGUAAAUGCGACUUUUCUCUGUACAGUUAGAGAUGUAUGACAAAUCAGUUUAAUUCCAUUUUCCCCUCUUAAAAGCUCUUGAUCUCGAAAUCAGUUUCAAAGCUAACGAGAAAAAACGCCACAACAAGCAUCAGCAGUUUCUCCUCUCCAGAUAAUGGAUUGCCCAACUGCAAAUCUGUGUUCUACACUAUUCACUUGGACAACCUCCUUGGCACACAGUGAGGAAGCCAAAGGAAACUACUCACAUUCUGCUGUGUCAUUUCAUAUUAGCCAGAAUUGUCUUAAAUGGCAAAGUAAACAAGCUGCAACAAAAAUUCAGACACUGAUCUAUGAAGAGGUACUACACAUACACAUUUGUCUUAUGAGCAACAAGUGUCUCAAAAUAGUGAAAAAUGCCUUUGCUGAUUGCACAACUAUUUGUAUAAAAAAUUACAUAGCAAGACAAACCUAUCCAACUACAUCACACAAUUCAUUAUCUGUACACAAUACUCAGACAUUUAAUUUUAAAUAAAAAAAGAUUUUGAGCAGGUUGGUUGUUCAUGUGAACUUCAUUGAAAUGUCAUGCCAUAUAUGAAACUUUCAAAUAAGCUUCUCUAUGUAGGCAAUUCAAAUAAGUUCCCCCCACUGAGAGUUGUGUUUAUGUUACAGUGAAGUCCUCUUGUCUGAUUUUUCCCAAGCUGUGAAAAGCAGGGCCCUAAUUUAGUUUUCACAUACAUCCUGAAACACCACAAGCUCCAUUUGUUCACACAACUGUUUGAAACUUGUUUGGUCAGUUGUCAGUACUUAAAUUUUCUAAUGCAUCUUGCAAUUGUUGUCUAGCAUUCACAGAGGUAAAGUGAGCAAAUCACCAGGAAAAUUAGCUCACUACUCCCCACCGCUUUUAAAACAGAAUUAAUGAAAUUCAUAGAAACACUUUGAACAUAGAAACACUUUGAACACAGAAACACUUUGGAACACUCACAGCACACUAUGAAUGUUAAACUCUACCGUACCUAAAAACAAAAUCAGGAAAUUUGGGGAGGAAGAAAAAAAUCUAUGGAGAGUUUUAAACCUAAAAUACUACGUCCAGCGGGGACAGUCCCUGAGCCGAGGGACAGUGCUAGCAGAAGCAGCGGCGUGUUUACCCCGUGGUUACGCUCCCCCGGCAGCUGCCAUCAGCCGCCAGUAGAUGCACGGCACUGGAGUGUAUGUGCGUUUAGCCAAGAUCUGCUUCUGGAGAAGCAGAUCUUCAACAAGGAUGUUCUCGAGGAGAUGGCCAUG
ensembl:lncRNA